ACUCUACGACAGCGGAUAUCUCGGCUCGCAUCGAUGAAGAACGUGGCGAAAUCGAUACCUGGUGUGAAUUGCAGAAUCCCGUGAACCAUCGAGUCUUUGAACGCAAGUUGCGCCCGAGGCCAUCCGGCUAAGGGCACGCCUGCCUGGGCAUCACGCUUUCGACGCUUCGUCGUUGCUCCCUCAAGGGGACGGGGGUGAACGCGGAGGAUGGCCCCCCGUGCCGGAAGGUGCGGUUGGCCGAAGAGCGGGCCGUCGAUGGUUGUCGAACACGAUGCGUGGUGGAUGCCUUGUGCGAGCCGUACGUCGUGCCUUUUCGGACCGGGGCGAGGCCUCGAGGACCCAAGUCGUGGUGCGAUCGAUGCCCACGGACCGCGACCCCAGUCGAGGUGGGGCUACCCGCUGAGUUUAAAGCAUAUAAAUAAGCGGAGGAGAAGAAACUUUCAAAGAUUCCCUUAGUAGCAAUGGCGGCGAACCGGGAUCAGCCCGGCUUGAGAAUCGGGCGGCUGCGUCGUCUGAAUUGUAGUCUGGAGAAGCGUCCUGGUGUGGACCGAGCCAAGUCCCCUGGAAAGAAGCGCCGGGAGAAAGUGAAACCCUCGUCCGGCUCGGACCCUGUCGCACCACAGGCGCUGUCGGCGAGUCGGGUUGUUUGGGAAUGCAGCCCCAAUCGGGCGGUAAAUUCCGUCAAAAGCUAAAUAUGGGCGAGACCGAUAGCGAACAAAUACCGCGAGGAAAGAUGAAAAGGACUUUGAAAAAAAAGUCAAAAAGUACUUGAAAUUGCUUGGAGGAAGCGGAUGGGGGCGGCAAUGCACCUCGGUCCGGAUCUGGAACGGCGGUUAGCCGGUCCGCCCUUUCGGCUUUCGAGUGCGGAUCGAUCUGGGCUGCAUCGGCGGUCAGCCGGACGGAUCGUUAGAUUCGAGGGAUACCGUCGAUGCGGUCGAGGACAUGACACGCCGCGCCAUCGGCGUGCCCGCCAAACCGGUGCGACCUAGGCAUCGGCGAUGGGCUCCCCAUCCGACCGUCUUGAAACGGGACCAAAAGUCCGACAUGCGUCGCGGUCGGCGGAGUGCGGAAACCGGAAGGCACAAAGGAAGCUAGCGGGCGGGAACCCUCUCGAGGGUUGCACCUUGCGUGGCCGACCCGAUCUUCUGUGAAGGGUUCGAGUUGGAGCAUGCAUGUCGGGACCCGAAAGAUGGUGAACUAUGCUGGCGAGCGAAGCCGAGAGAAACUCUGGUGGAGGCCCGGCGAUACUAACGUGCAAAUCGUUCGUUUGACUUGGGUAUAGGGGCGAAAGACUAAUCGAACCAUCUAGUAGCUGGUUCCCUCAGUUUCCCUCGGGAUAGCUGGAGCCCACGUGCAAGUUCUAUCGGGUAAAGCCAAUGAUUAGAGGCAUCGGGAGCAUAGCGCCCUCGACCUAUUCUCAAACUUUAAAUAGGUAGGGCCGGUAGCGACUGCCGUUGAGCAGCGUCGUGGAAUCGAGAAAACCAAGUGGGCCAUUUUUGGUAAAGCAAAGCUGGCGAUCUUGGGGAUGAACGGAAGCGGGGUUCUGAUGCCCAACUCUUGGCUAACCAAGACACCACAAAGGGUGUUGGUCGAUUAAGACAACAGGGCGGUGGUCAUGGAAGUCGAAAUCCUCUAAGGGUGUGUAACAACUCACCUGCCGAAUCAACUAGCCCCGAAAAUGGAUGGCGCUGAAGCGCCCGACCCACCCCGCCAUCGGGCGGCGCCAAACCCGAUGAGUAGGAGGCGGCGGUCGCCCAUAAAACCAAGUAGCGAGCGGGGCCGAACAACCGUCGGUGCAGAUCUUGGUGGUAGUAGCAAAUAUUCAAAUGAGAACUUUGAAGGCCGAAGGGGAAAGGUUCCAUGUGAAUGGCACUUGCACAUGGGUUAGCCAAUCCUAAGGGGCGGGGGAAGCCCGUCCAGAAGAAAUCUCUCAGCCGAGCUCGAAAGGGAAUCGGGUUAAAAUUCCCGAGCGAGGCAGCGGCCCAGUUGGCAACGUUAGGAAGUCGGGAGGCGUCGGCGGGGAACUCCGGGGAAGAGUUAUCUUUUCUGCUUAACGGCCCCCCCACCACAGAAAUGGCUCAGCCGGAGGUAGGGUCCAACAAUCGGAAGAAGCCGCCGUCAUUGUCAUCGGUCGUCCCGCCGGCCCCGGCCCGAAAAUCUGGAGGAUCGAGUGCAUACGCCCGAUCGUACUCAUAACCGCAUCAAGUCUCCAAGGUGAACAGCCUCUGGCCCAUGGAACAAUGUAGGCAAGGGAAAUUCGGCAAAAGCGGAUUAAGUAACUUUGGGAAAAGGAUUGACUCGAGGGCUGGGCACGGGGUCCCGGCCCCGAACCCGUCGGCUGUCGGCGGACUGCUCGAGCUGCUCUGCGGCGAAGCGGCGGGUCGCCAGCGUGCCCGGCCGGGGGGAAGGGACGGGAAUAGCCCCCUCGGGGGCCUUCCCGGCGUCGAACAACCGACUCAGAACUGAAAUGCGGACAAGGGGAAUCCGACUGUUUAAUUAAAACAAAAGCAUUGCGAUGGUCCCCGCGGAUGCUCCGCGCAAUGUGAUUUCUGCCCAGUGCUCUGAAUGUCAAAGUGAAGAAAUUCAACCAAAAGCGGGUAAACGGCGGGGAGUAACUAUGACUCUCUUAAGGUAGCCAAAUGCCUGCGUCAUCUAAUUAGUGGCGCGCAUGAAUGGAUUAACGAGAUUCCCACUGUCCCUGUCUACUAUCCAACGAAACCACAGCCAAGGGAGCGGGCUUGGCAGAAUCAGCGGGGAAAGAAGACCCUGUUGAGCUUGACUCUAGUCCGACUUUGUGAAAUGACUUGAGAGGUGUAGGAUAAGUGGGAGCUGGUUUGGCCGCGGAAGUGAAAUACCACUACUUUUAGCGUUAUUUUACUUAUUCCGUGAGUCGGGCCGGGGCCCGGCCCCUCCUUUUGGACCCAAGGCCAGCCCUAGCGAACCGAUCCGGCGGGAAGAGACAUUGUCGGUGGGGAGUUUGGCUGGGGCGGCACAUCUGUUAAAAGAUAACACAGGUGUCCUAAGAUGAGCUCAACGAGAACAGAAAUCUCGUGUGGAACAAAAGGGUAAAAGCUUCGUUUGAUUCUGAUUUCCAUGCGAAUCUGAACCGUGAAAGCGUGGCCUAUCGAUCCUUUAGACCUUGAAUUUGAAGCUAGAGGUGUCAGAAAAAGUUACCACAGGGAUAACUGGCUUGUGGCAGCCGCGUUCAUAGCGGCGU
rnacentral:rRNA from 1 species